UGGGAGAAGAUGAAGGCCAUCACUGCAGAU
rnacentral:piRNA from 1 species